rnacentral:sRNA from 1 species
UUUAUAGCUCUGGAGAUGGAAGUUUUCUACUUAUCCACAGAACAGAUAGAGUGUAGGUAGAAAAUGCAAACGCCUCCCUACAUGCCCUCUCUUGCCAUAGUGCCUCCAUCCUGACCUGGAGGAACCAGCUCUGUAAAUGAAGAUAGAGUUCAGUCUUCAUGGAUCAUUCAAUCCUUGGCUUCU